UGCCAGUCUGUACUAGUCCCUUCGUCCCAUCUAAUUUUAAUCCUCUGUUUUAUUUAAAAAUUAUUUUUAAAAAAUAAAAAAUAUAAGUCACAUAUAAUGUAUGAUCUAUGUUUUAUUAUCUCAUAACAACAAAAAUACUAAUUAUAAAAAAAUAAAUAAGACGGACGAUCAAAAUUAGACACGGAAACGCAUGGUUGCGCUUAUA
rfam:Oryza sativa Japonica Group DNA, chromosome 1, cultivar: Nipponbare, complete sequence.